CUCCCUCCAUCAGAUGGGCGCCCUCCUCCUCUCCUUUUACCAUGGCAGCAGUUCCAACUCCCUCUCCUUCCCCUCCAUCAAAACCGAAGGAAAAACGUGUCUGCAGUUCUGUUUUGCCACUGCACAUCUCUUUUCGUUGCCGGAUUCCUGGAAUUCUUUGCAUGGUGUUGCGGUAAGGAUCAUGGACUUAUCUAUUCUUUACUGAGAAACACAUGUUCAUCAUGUCCCCUCUCUGUUGUGAUGUUUUAAGGAAAAUCAUGGUGAUGUAGUGUGCCAUGGAGAUCACUCCGGUGUGUGUGUCGCCAUCUCUCUGAACCUGCAGUGGAAUCCUAUCAACCACCAUUACCGCUGCUUCUGUACAUGACAUGAUCAUCUCUGAAGUGAAAUUGGCGCCAUCUCAUUGAUCACCAACUGUUUGCUGUCCAUCAUUGGUGUUAGACACCAUUGAGGUCUUGUCCAGCAACCAUGAACCUCGAUCGGUGCUGUUGGCGAUCAGCGUUCAUGAUCUCCAUGGAUCCAAUAAGCUCUAUGAUGAAUCCUUUGACUAUAAGAUCACUUAUAUAUUUACACACAUCUCUGCAAAAUUUCAUAGCAAGAGACUUCAAGAUGAAAGAUAUAUCAUCGUCUUUUUAGUGUUUGCUGUCCCUGCUGUUUCAGCAGGCGUUUGCCUCUAUUUGGUACUGUUGUUUCCCAUAAUACAUUAGUCAAAUCAUCAAACCCUUCAUACAGCAUGUGUCUGUAAUUGUUGCACAUGCCUCUGCAAAGUUUCAUGUCUAUAGGAUCAAAUAUGCAAGAGAUA